rnacentral:rRNA from 1 species
GACGAACGCUGGCGGCGUGCCUAAUACAUGCAAGUCGAGCGAAUGGAAGGGAGCUUGCUCCCUGAAGUUAGCGGCGGACGGGUGAGUAACACGUGGGCAACCUGCCUGUAAGACUGGGAUAACUUCGGGAAACCGGAGCUAAUACCGGAUACGUUCUUUUCUCGCAUGAGGAAAGAUGGAAAGAUGGUUUCGGCUAUCACUUACAGAUGGGCCCGCGGCGCAUUAGCUAGUUGGUGGGGUAAUGGCCCACCAAGGCGACGAUGCGUAGCCGACCUGAGAGGGGGAUCGGCCACACUGGGACUGAGACACGGCCCAGACUCCUACGGGAGGCAGCAGUAGGGAAUCUUCCGCAAUGGACGAAAGUCUGACGGAGCAACGCCGCGUGAGCGAAGAAGGCUUUCGGGUCGUAAAGCUCUGUUGUCAGGGAAGAACAAGUGCCAGAGUAACUGCUGGCACCUUGACGGUACCUGACCAGAAAGCCACGGCUAACUACGUGCCAGCCGCCGCUGUAAUAC